rfam:Populus trichocarpa isolate Nisqually-1 chromosome 4, whole genome shotgun sequence.
UCUAAAACUCAAGAUAUGGGCUGAACACUGAACAAUGUCUGGGCUGCAAGACAGAUUUCGAGUUCUUCGUUGUUGCUACAAUUUGAACUUGAAAACGAUCCUUUUCAAUCUUAGACUCUUCAUGAAAGUUUUAGGCCUAUGUCUUAGCUUUCUAUA